rnacentral:rRNA from 1 species
CCUACGGGGGACAGCAGUCGAGAAUCAUUCACAAUGGGGGAAACCCUGAUGGUGCGACGCCGCGUGGGGGAAUGAAGGUCUUCGGAUUGUAAACCCCUGUCAUGUGGGAGCAAAUUAAAAAGAUAGUACCACAAGAGGAAGAGACGGCUAACUCUGUGCCAGCAGCCGCGGUAAUACAGAGGUCUCAAGCGUUGUUCGGAAUCACUGGGCGUAAGGCGUGCGUAGGCUGUUUCGUAAGUCGUGUGUGAAAGGCGCGGGCUCAACCCGCGGACGGCACAUGAUACUGCGAGACUAGAGUAAUGGAGGGGGAACCGGAAUUCUCGGUGUAGCAGUGAAAUGCGUAGAUAUCGAGAGGAACACUCGUGGCGAAGGCGGGUUCCUGGACAUUAACUGACGCUGAGGCACGAAGGCCAGGGGAGCGAAAGGGAUUAGAUACCCGAGUAGUC